rnacentral:rRNA from 1 species
UGAAUACGAGAUGCUACGGCAUCGAAGCAGUCUAUGUCAUACUUCCAAGAAAAGCUUGCACUGUCAUAAACAAAUAAUGCCUGUACCAUAACCGACACAGGUGGGUAGGUAGAGUAUACUAAGGGGCGCGAGAUAACUCUCUCUAAGGAACUCGGCAAAAUGACUCCGUAACUUCGGGAGAAGGAGUGCCUUAUUUUAUAAGGUUGCAAUAACAAGGUCCAAGCAACUGUUUACCAAAAACACAGGUCUCCGCUAAGUCGUAAGACGAUGUAUGGGGGCUGACGCCUGCCCAGUGCCAGAAGGUUAAAGAAGUUGGUUAGCAUUAGCGAAGCUGAUAACUGAAGCCCUGGUGAACGGCGGCCGUAACGAUAACGGUCCUAAGGUAGCGAAAUUCCUUGUCGGGUAAGUUCCGACCCGCACGAAAGGCGUAAUGAUUUGGAUACUGUCUCGGAGAGGGGCUCGGUGAAAUAGACUUGUCUGUGAAGAUGCGGACUACCUGCACCAGGACAGAAAGACCCUAUGAAGCUUUACUGUAACUUGAGAUUGAAAUUGGACUUUAUUUGCGCAGUAUAGGUGGGAGACGUUGAAAAUAUUCUUGCGGGAAUAUUGGAGUCAUCAGUGAGAUACCACUCUUAUAAUGUUAGAUUUCUAACUUUGUAUCAUUAUCUGGUCAAAGAACAGUCUCAGGCGGGCAGUUUGACUGGGGCGGUCGCCUCCCAAACGGUAACGGAGGCGCACAAAGGUUUCCUCUGAACGUGUAGAAAUCGUAUCUAGAGUGUAAAGGCAUAAGGAAGCUUGACUGUGAGACCUACAAGUCGAGCAGGGACGAAAGUCGGUCUUAGUGAUCUGACGGUGCUGAGUGGAAAGGCCGUCACUCAACGGAUAAAAGUUACUCUAAGGAUAACAGGCUGAUCUCCCCCAAGAGUUCACAUCGACGGGGAGGUUUGGCACCUCGAUGUCGGCUCAUCGCAUCCUGGGGCGGUAGUACGUCCCAAGGGUUGGGCUGUUCGCCCAUGAAAGCGGUACGCGAGCUGGGUUCAGAACGUCGUGAGACAGUUCGGUCCAUAUCCGGUGUAGGCGUUAGAAUAUUGAGAGGAGCCUUCUUUAGUACGAGAGGACCGAGAAGGACAUACCUCUGGUGUACCAGUUAUCGUGCCAACGGUAAACGCUGGGUAGCUAUGUAUGGAGAGGAUAACCGCUGAAAGCAUCUAAGUGGGAAGCCCACCUCAAGAUAAG